AGCAGCCGCGGUAAUUCCAGCUCCAAUAGCGUAUAUUAAAGUUGUUGCAGUUAAAAAGCUCGUAGUUGAAUUUCGGGAUCAAUACGUCGGUCGUGCUUCGGUACGUACUGGCGUAAUUGAUUUCUCCCCUUCUGACGAACCAUGAUGUCAUUAACUUGGUGUCAUGGGAAAUCAGGACUGUUACUUUGAAAAAUUAGAGUGUUUAAAGCAGGCUCACGCUUGAAUACAUUAGCAUGGAAUAAUGAAAUAGGACGUUCGAUCCUAUUUUGUUGGUUUUUAGGAUCAACGUAAUGAUUAAUAGGGAUAGUUGGGGGCAUUAGUAUUCAAUUGUCAGAGGUGAAAUUCUUGGAUUUAUUGAAGACUAACUACUGCGAAAGCAUUUGCCAAGGAUGUUUUCAUUAAUCAAGAACGAAAGUUAGGGGAUCGAAGACGAUCAGAUACCGUCGUAGUCUUAACCAUAAACUAUGCCGACUAGGGAUCGGAUGAUGUUAAUUUUUAAUGUACUCAUUUCGGCGCC
rnacentral:misc_RNA from 1 species